rnacentral:rRNA from 1 species
GUAGGUGAACCUGCGGAAGGAUCAUUACCGAGUGAGGGCCCUCUGGGUCCAACCUCCCACCCGUGUUUAUCGUACCUUGUUGCUUCGGCGGGCCCGCCUCACGGCCGCCGGGGGGCAUCCGCCCCCGGGCCCGCGCCCGCCGAAGACACACAAACGAACUCUUGUCUGAAGAUUGCAGUCUGAGUACUUGACUAAAUCAGUUAAAACUUUCAACAACGGAUCUCUUGGUUCCGGCAUCGAUGAAGAACGCAGCGAAAUGCGAUAAGUAAUGUGAAUUGCAGAAUUCAGUGAAUCAUCGAGUCUUUGAACGCACAUUGCGCCCCCUGGUAUUCCGGGGGGCAUGCCUGUCCGAGCGUCAUUGCUGCCCUCAAGCACGGCUUGUGUGUUGGGCUCUCGCCCCCCGCUUCCGGGGGGCGGGCCCGAAAGGCAGCGGCGGCACCGCGUCCGGUCCUCGAGCGUAUGGGGCUUCGUCACCCGCUCUGUAGGCCCGGCCGGCGCCCGCCGGCGAACACCAUCAAUCUUAACCAGGUUGACCUCGGAUCAGGUAGGGAUACCCGCUGAACUUAAGCAUAUCAAU